rnacentral:rRNA from 1 species
AUAUUGGACAAUGGGGGCAACCCUGAUCCAGCCAUGCCGCGUGAGUGAUGAAGGCCUUCGGGUUGUAAAGCUCUUUUGGCGGGGACGAUGAUGACGGUACCCGCAGAAUAAGCCCCGGCUAACUUCGUGCCAGCAGCCGCGGUAAGACGAAGGGGGCAAGCGUUGUUCGGAAUUACUGGGCGUAAAGGGCGCGUAGGCGGUUUGCUUAGUCAGGCGUGGAAGCCCUGGGGUUAACCUGGGAUGUGCGCUUGAUACUGGCAGGCGUGAGUGUGGGAGAGGUAGGUGGAAUGCCAAGUGAAGAGGUGAAAUUCGUAGAUAGUGGGAAGAACACCGGUGGCGAAGGCGGCCAACUGGA